AUCUAACUGACGAGUCCCAAAUAGGACGAAACAUGCUUAUUGGAU
rnacentral:hammerhead_ribozyme from 1 species